CAGUGAUGAUGGCAAAGAGGCCACACCCGUUCCCAUCCCGAACACGGAAGUUAAGCUCUUUUGCGCCGAUGGUAGUUGGGGGUCUCCCCCUGUGAGAGUAGGACGUCGCUGGGCA
rnacentral:rRNA from 1 species